AGAGAGAGAGAGAUAAAUUGAGUGAAAACCAAAAGGAAAAAAAACAAAAACAAAAAAGAAAAACAGAAACCAAAAGGGAAAGCACGAGUUUUUGUGUGCAGAAGUGAGUGAUGCCUUCUUCUCUUCGAGAGCUAACCUAAACAAAACACCAGAAAGCUUCAACAGAAGCUAUGUUUUUCGUUGGAGACAAAUCCAACGGACUGUUUCAGGAAUCACUUCAGACCGCGGGUUCGCUUCAAAUUGUAUCUGACUCUGCAGGUGUUGUCAAGAUUUGGCCCUCUACUUUACCCUUGAGUGAUAGUGGAGAGGUAAUUCUAUUGAGCUUCAACUCGAGAAGAUGACCCGAUGGCAAAAUUGGGUAUAAAGGCCUCUUUAGGCUAAGAUAUGUUUAUUGGACCCCCACCAGGUUCUAAAUUCAUGAUUAUUUAUAAAUUGGAAUCAGUAAAGAAAGAGGAAAGAAUUGAAAAUCUAUUUGACAGUUAUUGUCGGGGGUUUUCUGUUUCUAUUUUUGUAUCUCUAUCUGAAUCUGUUGGUGAACAACUCAUUUUGAAUGGUACUUGGGAUCUCUCUGAUGAAAGUGGAUUCACAAUUGACUAUAGGGACUACAAUGGCAAAGUACUACUAUGGCAUUAGUUUUAUCUAUUCUGUAGGAGGCCAUAGUGGUGAAGUACAGUUGUGGUCAUUAGUUUAUCUCUGAACUAUCUGAUAUUGAAAUGAAUCUAUUUG